rnacentral:miRNA from 1 species
UUAUUUAUGUGUGUGUGUGUGUGUGUGUGUGUGUAUAUAUAUACACACACACACCACAAGAGAAAUAAGGAAUA